CUUGGUUCUCGGAUGAAUGUGUUUUUUUUCUUACUUUUGAUAUCUGCCAAAAACUGCAGCAGUUAGUAGUCAAAUGGUCAUACCUUUGCAGGAAGUGUGUUUUAGCAUUCGAAACAGCCCAGAUAUAUGAAAUAUUAAAUAGUAGCAGUAUUAACAAGUUUGCAUAUCUAUGGUUAUUCUUUCUGUUAAAACUUCCCAAAGAUGAGAAAAAAUACACAAAUCAAAAUCGUUGUACAGACACCCAUGUGGAACGAAAUACACUUGUAAGUAUUUUCUUUUUCUUCAGUAAAACCUCCCCGCCAACUUGUUCUUCUUUGUACAUGGAGUCGGAUGAAUUAUACGAAGUAUGCAGACUAAGCAAAGAUCUGACAAAAUACCUUCAUGAAGACCUGCCAUAGUGCCAUGCACAGAUGUCUUGACAGAGAAAUAUUUUGCAGCACAUCCGUACAAAACGCCCAGGCGAGCUUGGCGCUGGGCGGCAGCAAAAUGCCCACUCACUGCCUUGUGCCUUUUUGAACUUGUCUACGACUAAGAAAGCUGAAGUAAUGCCAACUCAGGGUGAUCGCCGCUGGCUUAAUGCUUGCAUGUCAAACAGGAAGCAAUCUUCAUGUAAUCUGCAGGAAAAUACGCUCAAGGUGGUCGCGGGCAGCGUGCUUAACACAUGCAAGUCAAAUAGGAAUAAGUGUUCCUGUAUCUGCAUGAAAAAUAUAGUUGUUCCAUUGGGGUCCACUUA